CAGCCGAACGAACACUUUAUUUGAUUUCCUUCGGGACUGAUUAUUUUGUGACUGAGUGGCGGACGGGUGAGUAACGCGUGGGUAACCUGCCUUGUACAGGGGGAUAACAGUUGGAAACGGCUGCUAAUACCGCAUAAGCGCACAGCAUCGCAUGAUGCAGUGUGAAAAACUCCGGUGGUAUAAGAUGGACCCGCGUUGGAUUAGCUAGUUGGUGAGGUAACGGCCCACCAAGGCGACGAUCCAUAGCCGACCUGAGAGGGUGACCGGCCACAUUGGGACUGAGACACGGCCCAAACCCCUACGGGAGGCAGCAGUGGGGAAUAUUGCACAAUGGGCGAAAGCCUGAUGCAGCGACGCCGCGUGAGCGAAGAAGUAUUUCGGUAUGUAAAGCUCUAUCAGCAGGGAAGAUAAUGCCGGUACCUGACUAAGAAGCACCGGCUAAAUACGUGCCAGCAGCCGCGGUAAUACGUAUGGUGCAAGCGUUAUCCGGAUUUACUGGGUGUAAAGGGAGCGCAGGCGGUGCGGCAAGUCUGAUGUGAAAGCCCGGGGCUCAACCCCGGUACUGCAUUGGAAACUGUCGUACUAGAGUGUCGGAGGGGUAAGCGGAAUUCCUAGUGUAGCGGUGAAAUGCGUAGAUAUUAGGAGGAACACCAGUGGCGAAGGCGGCUUACUGGACGAUAACUGACGCUGAGGCUCGAAAGCGUGGGGAGCAAAC
rnacentral:rRNA from 1 species